rnacentral:sRNA from 2 species
GAAAAUCUUUGUUAGGUGAGGCUACUAUAUGGAAAUACGCUUCUGCCCGGAAACAUCGAGAGAUGCCAAUGGGUCAACAGGCUUUAUCGGAUUAAGGUAUAGCUUAACGGAGCUGUUUUUAAAAACUUACGCUAUAUAGAGCUAAAACUCAACGAGUAAAAGAUAUCA